AUCCACCUGAAGAGCCCCAAAUAGGACGAAACGCGCGUCCUGGAU
rfam:Schistosoma mansoni strain Puerto Rico chromosome 4, complete genome